AGUCCAUUGGGAAAUCUAUAGCUCAACUAUAAGGCUGCCAAUGGAUACUGCUGGUCUUGGGACCGGGAGAGGCAAGAGGUACCUCAAGGGUAGGAGUGAAAUCCUGUAAUCCUUGAGGGACCGCCAGUGGCGAAGGCGUCUUGGCUAGAACGGGUCCGACGGUGAGGGACGAAAGCUAGGGGCACGAACCGGAUUAGAUACCCGGGUAGUCCUAGCUGUAAACGAUGCGAGCUAGGUGUCACGUGGAUUGCGAAUCCGCGUGGUGCCGUAGGGAAACCGUGAAGCUCGCCGCCUGGGAAGUACGGCCGCAAGGCUGAAACUUAAAGGAAUUGGCGGGGGAGCACCACAACGGGUGGAAGCCUGCGGUUUAAUUGGACUCAACGCCGGAAAGCUCACCGGAGACGACAGCGGGAUGAAGGCCAGGCUGAUGACCUUGCUAGACUAGCUGAGAAGAGGUGCAUGG
rnacentral:rRNA from 1 species